GAUGAAUCGCUGAUGAGGAAAGUACUCCGUGUAGUAAGCUGUAGCGAGUCGGGGGCGGUGAGAGCCCGAUGCCAGACACGGAAGGAAACGCACCUCGGAGAAGCGUCCUGAACAUCCUCCUUUGCGCGGAUUGUGUAGGGAAACGCCGGGACUGCCCGAUAUUGCAGAUCAAGCGGUUUUUGCUUAGGCAAAAACAACAGGAGUGGCACCGCGGGAGCACAAACCUCUCGUCUCUUUU
rnacentral:ncRNA from 1 species